CGCGCGCCGGAAAGAUGAGGGCACGUGACCAAUGGCGCCCCGCCCCCUUUUCUCUCUUCUCUCCGCGCAGGCUCCUCCGCCGGGACCCUUCUUAGAGUCGGCUGGUUGCCGGGAGUUGCUGUCGUCACGUGACAAGGGGGCAUAAGUUCGAGUGGGGCCGCCAUCCUGGAUUCAGAGCUGCGCAGACGCAAACGCAUACGUAUUUGCAGACGCAUCCACGGGAGAAGCAGUCUGGAGACUGUGGAGAAGGGGGCGUGACACUCCACCCCAGCUCAAGUUCUAAUUCUCAGCUCUCGACUUUACGGCGGCCUUUGAAUGGAGGGACUGCUCCCGAAAUCGGGAGUGAUUGUCACAUCUAGUUCCUCCUUUUUACAGAUGGGGAAAUCGAGGCCCAGUGAGGGCCAGCGACUUGUCCAGGGACACACAGCCAGGAAGCAGCAGAGCAAGAAUUUUAAACGAUUCCCGUGAUUCCCAGUCUGCUUAUUCAGAAGAGGGUGAGGAGCCCCUGUCAGGGAGGGAGAGAAGAAAAGGGGAAGGAAAGCUGAUGGGGUUGGGUGGAGAACGCCUCGGGGAGGGCCAGCCUGGGCUGUUCACCUUCAAAUUUUGCUUCUCGCCUGACUCGGGAAGCUCUGAGUUUAAAUUCUGCCUCUGACACUUGCAGGCUUUGCGAAGCUGGAGGCAUUGUGGGAAGAGCCAGCCUAGAGGUCCUCAGACCCUGGGUGCAGAUUUUGCCUCUGAUUAGCAUCGCGUAACCUCUCGGCCCUGCAGGCAGAUUCCUAAGACUAAACUGCGGGGGAGGGGCGGGUCUCUCUAACGAGGAGGUGUCCUCUGGGACCGUUUGUGGCGCCUUUGUGAUUCCAGCUUUCCCAGCGGCGGUGAGACUCCUCUGGAGUACGCCGGACACUGUGGUUUAUCAACCCGAAAGUCCUAUGUUGGUUAAUUACUCGUUACACAGCUCAGACCCCGAGCGGAGUAGCGGCUCCGACUUAGUCAAGCUCUUUGUCAAGCUUCUCUCAACCUCUCCUCCCUUUUCCUACUGCCUCUUCCCUGCAUCGGUUUCUCUGUACAAUAAUCCACUGUUUUAAUGAUGUACUUGCCACUCAUCCAUUGCCCUCCUGACCUAGCAGUUCCCAUCUUUUUGUUGUUAUUUGAGCUAGAGAAAUGCAAUAUUUACCUGAUUAAAGGUGCAUGCCCCGCAUUAACCUCUCACUACUUAACUGCUUGACAAUCCCACCCGUUUCUUAUCAGUUCCAUUUGGUUGAUCCAGAUCUUUUUCUCUAGAGCUCCUAACACCAGCUCUAAGGUCCUAUCUAAUUGUAAUGUUCUGUGGUGUUACUCAUAAAUAGAACAGCUGAGGAUGGAAGGGCAGAUCUAGAGUAUAAGCUAAAGAAUUUAGACAUUAAGACAAGUUAAGCCUUUAUUACUUGAUCAUUAUGUGUAGGCACUGUUUCAAAGAAAGACAAAAAAAAAAAAAACCCAGUGCCAGCCUUCAAAGAAUUCUCCUUUUAGUGGGAGAGAGAUGCCUACAACAGAAAAAAGCACUGAGUAAAUGGAAGGCACCCUAAAAGGGGAAGGCAUGGGGGAGAAGAGGGACCAGGCGCAAUGGAGGAGAGUUGGCUAUAUAGAGAAAUCUCUGUUAAUGUUGUCCUACAUAGUACCCUAGAGAAGUUUCAUUUUUCCAAACACAUGUAGUACUAGAACAAUAGUUUGCCAACGCUUCUGCCUUUCAUUAACUGUGACUUUGACAUUAAAUUUGCAAUAGCAAUUGCAAAAAGAUGCAAGCUUUUAGGGCCUUAACUUUUUUUUAGCCCAAAUCCAUAAUGUUCAUAGUCACUUUUGUGCUUAGCAAAGGGCAAUAAAAGACAUUCUUCAAUGAA